AUGGUAACAUAGCUCAGUGACUAGAAACCUCCUGGUGGCAGUGGAGGCUGUGGCUGGGAGAACUGUGGCCGUGUUGGAAGGAAGGCUGGAAUAAGGAGCAUUGCUAUGUGCAUCUGACUUCAUGGCUUGGAGCUGCUCGAUAAUACAACCCAUGAUGUCGAUCUCAGUUUUGAAUGGGCACAUGGAUAAGCAUCAACCCUAGUAUGAGAAGAGGAUAAAGAGAAAUAAUUGAUUCGAUUAAUAGCUGUAUACUGCCACUGUGGAUUAUGAUUUCCUCCACUAAGCAGAUCAUAUCUAGCAAACCAGCUUAAAUGGAGUCAUUACCUAAUUAAACAUAUGACUACUAAUUGUUAUCCUCAAGGAUUCAUCCAUCUUCUCUACUAGCCAAAUUGAAUCCUCCCUCAAGGAUACCCUGCUUUCUCUCAGUUCAAAGACAUCUGCAUCUGGGAACUAACUCAAGUGUAAAAGGGUCUUAUCAUGAAGGCUCCGGUAUUGCCUUUGUUAGGCAUAGAAGUUGAAGGUUAUAAAUCUCAAACAGAACGUUGGAUUGAAUCAUCUUUUCAGUCUGGUGAAGCAAGGUUAGAAAGGGAAUAACAGGGGCACUGCACUCCUCCCAUCCCAUUCAAAAACAGUCUGCUCAGCAAGCCACGGGCCACCAUUGCUG